rnacentral:rRNA from 1 species
UACAGAGGGUGCGAGCGUUUAAUCGGAAUUACUGGGCGUAAAGCGCGCGUAGGCGGCUUUGCAAGUCGGGUGUGAAACCCCCAGGCUUAACCUGGGAACUGCAUUCGAGACUGCAUUGCUAGAGUAUGGGAGAGGGAAGUGGAAUUUCCGGUGUAGCGGUGAAAUGCGUAGAGAUCGGGAGGAACAUCUGUGGCGAAGGCGGCCAUCUGGACCAGCACUGACACUGAGGCACGAAAGCGUGGGGAGCAAACAGG